rnacentral:tRNA from 1 species
UCCUGGCUAGCUCAGUCGGUAAAGCGUUCCACUGGAAAUGGAGAGGUUCCUGGUUCGAUACCAGGACCAGGCG